rnacentral:ncRNA from 9 species
NNNNNNNGGUGAAGUCUGGUAAACGACGCACGUUGAUGAGGAGCACGACUGCAUUGAAAGCCCUAGGUAAAGAACAAACGGCGCCAGAUGUCCUUGGGGAAAGACAAGGGCAAAAGGUGGGACAGCGGGGGGGGAGUCCCCUGGGAGCCCCGCCCCCUGAGAGCCCCCACCAUACACUUCAAAAUUGUCGGGGAACACCCGUGAGGCCCUUGACUACCGCGGUCCGCCGAGAGGUGAGGGCGAGCAAUCGCUCAGGACGCAGCAGCGUACGUAGUGGUACGUGGAUGGUAAAAACGUCAAGGGAUAGGGGUCAAUCCGCAGGGAAGCGUCAGUGUCUGCCGCCCUUUGCGCGGGGGGACAAAGGCGAACCUUCAGAAGACUCUAAUGGAGUGGGCGCAAGCUCAAGGAGAGUCCAAUCCACGGGGAGACCCGGUCCACAGGAGUAAAGGGGAAGUAGCUCACCUCUGAGGACUGUGGAUGGGGGGCGCAAGCGCGCCCCUCAGGUAGUCAUGGCCAGCANNNNNNNNNNNNNNNNNN